rnacentral:rRNA from 1 species
GCUACCUGCAGUCGACGAUGAUGCCCAGCUUGCUGGGCGGAUUAGUGGCGAACGGGUGAGUAAUACGUGAGUAACCUGCCCUUGACUCUGGGAUAAGCCUGGGAAACUGGGUCUAAUACUGGAUACUACCUCUUACCGCAUGGUGGGUGGUGGAAAGGGUUUUACUGGUUUUGGAUGGGCUCACGGCCUAUCAGCUUGUUGGUGGGGUAAUGGCUCACCAAGGCGACGACGGGUAGCCGGCCUGAGAGGGUGACCGGCCACACUGGGACUGAGACACGGCCCAGACUCCUACGGGAGGCAGCAGUGGGGAAUAUUGCACAAUGGGCGGAAGCCUGAUGCAGCGACGCCGCGUGAGGGAUGACGGCCUUCGGGUUGUAAACCUCUUUCAGUAGGGAAGAAGCGAGAGUGACGGUACCUGCAGAAGAAGCGCCGGCUAACUACGUGCCAGCAGCCGCGGUAAUACGUAGGGCGCAAGCGUUGUCCGGAAUUAUUGGGCGUAAAGAGCUCGUAGGCGGUUUGUCGCGUCUGCUGUGAAAGCCCGGGGCUCAACCCCGGGUCUGCAGUGGGUACGGGCAGACUAGAGUGCAGUAGGGGAGACUGGAAUUCCUGGUGUAGCGGUGAAAUGCGCAGAUAUCAGGAGGAACACCGAUGGCGAAGGCAGGUCUCUGGGCUGUUACUGACGCUGAGGAGCGAAAGCAUGGGGAGCGAACAGGAUUAGAUACCCUGGUAGUCCAUGCCGUAAACGUUGGGCACUAGGUGUGGGGGACAUUCCACGUUUUCCGCGCCGUAGCUAACGCAUUAAGUGCCCCGCCUGGGGAGUACGGCCGCAAGGCUAAAACUCAAAGGAAUUGACGGGGGCCCGCACAAGCGGCGGAGCAUGCGGAUUAAUUCGAUGCAACGCGAAGAACCUUACCAAGGCUUGACAUUCACCGGACCGCCCCAGAGAUGGGGUUUCCCUUCGGGGCUGGUGGACAGGUGGUGCAUGGUUGUCGUCAGCUCGUGUCGUGAGAUGUUGGGUUAAGUCCCGCAACGAGCGCAACCCUCGUUCUAUGUUGCCAGCACGUGAUGGUGGGGACUCAUAGGAGACUGCCGGGGUCAACUCGGAGGAAGGUGGGGAUGACGUCAAAUCAUCAUGCCCCUUAUGUCUUGGGCUUCACGCAUGCUACAAUGGCCGGUACAAAGGGUUGCGAUACUGUGAGGUGGAGCUAAUCCCAAAAAGCCGGUCUCAGUUCGGAUUGAGGUCUGCAACUCGACCUCAUGAAGUCGGAGUCGCUAGUAAUCGCAGAUCAGCAACGCUGCGGUGAAUACGUUCCCGGGCCUUGUACACACCGCCCGUCAAGUCACGAAAGUUGGUAACACCCGAAGCCGGUGGCCUAACCCCUUGGUGGGAGGGAGCCGUCGAAGUGAC